CAAAGGGCGGCUGUGGGAGGACAAAGUGCGUGGUCCCGAGGCCGGGCUGGAGGCGGGCUGCCCGGCGCCCUCCUGGCGCGUUCGCUCCGCGCGGGAAUGCCGCCUUUGUGUCGGCGGCCGCGCGUUUCCCAGCGAGAGAUUUCCAGGAGCCGCUGGCAGAUGCCCGCGGCCGAGCCGUGCCCCGGGAGCCCGGUGACAGGAAAUUGCUCGUGAAGAGUUAAUGGCGCUGUGCCGUGGGGCCCCGGGCAGGGAGAGGCCGGCGCUGCCAUGGGCAGCGAUCGAUACAUUUGCUUUUCCCCCCGUCCCGAUUUCACCUGGACUUAAUUUGCAGGAGGUCGUAGAUGCAGUGCACUGAGGCAGGAGUUUUAGGCUCGUACUGUUAGUACAUACAAAUAAUAAAGUAAUGCCCAUCCAUCGUGAGCCAGCCGUUGUGUGCGUCUCCAAAAGCUGCCCAGAUCCCAGAGGAUCUGGAGAGGAUCUCCGCUAACGGGAGAGCGGCCUUGUGCCUGCGUCACUGUGCUCAGGAGGGCUCCAAAGCCCUUUGGUCCGUCAGGCCUCAGGCUCGUACAUCCCUUCACACAGCACACCAUGUCUGUGAAGCAGUGAAAUCCCUCACCUUUGCUUUCAGCAUCACCAAAUUUAGUCAUGUCCAGCAACUCCGGCAUCCUGACAGGAUGAUGAAUGCUCUGAAUCACCUCAGGAUGUUGUCGUCUCAGCUCCUGUCUGUGUUUGGAUAGGGCUGCGAUGCACGUGGGCAUGAGGUCUGUGCUGUGAACCAAUGCUGUUGGUCAUUUGAGUGGGGGAUGCAUUUAUUCUGUUAUAAAAGAGAGCCUAUUGAUAAUACUCCUUGUGAAGUUAACGAAACUCUUUCAGAAAGAAAUGGAAAUGUAUUACUCUCUCUCAGAAAUAACUAUCCUGGCAAUUUCCUAUGGCUUUAGUUUGCCUUUUUGUUCUUUCUUGACAGUAGGAUAUCCUCUUGUUUUCACCAGAUCCCAAGUCAUCAUCUCAAUUUACAUGUGAAGCAACAACCAAAAUCGACCAGUUGUGCUACAAAACGUAUGAUUAAUAUCUUGUCUCCAUCAGAGACAAAACUAUUUCACCGGUAAGACACAGAGUGUGGAUUUCACUUAAGGAAGGAUAGCUGAUCUAAUCAAGGCUACCUCCCUCACUGAUUCCCCUCCAAAAUUGUAAUAGUGGUACAAUUAGUCUCUCACACAACAUAGCCCAUACCUCCUUCCCACCUGCUGAGAACUUGCAUGAAGAGGGGAGAUUUAGAUUGGGAAUAAAGAAAAAGGUUUUUAUACAAUAAGGGGAGCAAGUCACUGGCACAGGUUGCCCAGAGAGGUGGUGGAUGCUCCAUCCCUGGAGAUGCUCAAGCUCAGGCUGGUUGAGGCUCUGAGCACCUGAUGGAGCUAUGGGUGUCCCUGUUCACUGCAAGGGAGCUGGACCACAUAACCUUUAAGGGUCCCUUCCGACUGAAAUGAUUCUAUGACUAAGAGCUGCAGAACUGUCUUAUAAGUGUGGAAGUGCUGGUCACAGCAGGGCUGUGUGCAGAGAGCUGUGUGAUGAGCCAGGAUAUAACUGCACAUGCUGUGCAGUCGCUGUGUCUACAGGUCAGCGGCAUGGCUUGAGUAGCUGAUUCCAGAGCUGUGCUACAGUUUUUGUCAGGCAUCUGUUCUGGGGGCUUUAGAGCACCAUAUGGUUUUAAAAAUCACAGUCAUAAUCUUGUUUCCCCAUUGGAACCCUAUCUUGAAGUAGGAAUUGUGAUCUUUCAUGAGAGGAGGCUGGAAGAAGUUGUUGUGUUUAGAUUAACAAAAGUUAGGCGGAAAUUUGGUGCCUGAAAGGAGGUUAAGCAUUGGUAGAUUAUUGUAUUGGUAUUGGUAUUUAAAUGUAAGACAAUGUAUAAAACGGGCAUUGAUGAAGUUACACUGUGAAUUAGAAGAUCUGGUAUUUUCAGAGCAAUGAGUUUGUGGAGCAACUUUCCUGCACUGAGAGCUGCGAGCCCAUCUGCUUUGAAAUCGAGUCCUGAUCAAUCUAUAAAAGUGCUUAUGUGAUACAGUUGCCUGAGAUAGCAGGAGACUAAACUCCAGAAGCUUUCCAAUUCCUUGUUUCUAUUUAAUGUUGCUUUUAAUGCUUAUUCCAUGUAUAAUUUAAUGCACGAUUUACUGCACAGCACUAUCAUCCAUUAAAUAAAAAUAUUAAUUUCCUUUAGAGCAUUUUAGAAAUGCUGUCAUCCUGCUAAACAUUAACAGUGUUAUCUGUGUAACACCAUUAUGAAAUGGAUGGCAUUAUCUUUUCUUAUGUCCAGGAAAUGAAAAAAUAACACCUCUAGAUACCUGUGUGGUGAAAUAUAAGGAUUCCUUUUGCAGCGUGUUGGACAAUCAAAGGCUUACAUUUCAACUUUCUAAUGCUUACAUGUAUUCAGAGUCCACUUCUCACUGACUUUAGAUGUGCCUAUGGAUGUUCAGCAUCUCAGCAGCUCACAUAACAAAUUACUCAACUGAGGUGGGGCAGAAAAUGAGGAAUACACAUAACACAAAUUCCUUAGAUUUGCAUGUGAAUUUGAGGAUGGAGUUAGAAUUCAGCUUUCUAGAGGUUUAAUCAUUUGCCGUAACUUUAAGGCUGCUUUCCCUUUCUUUACCUCACCUUUUGCUCAGCUCUUGCCCAUAUUCUCCCUAGUCUUGCCCUCCUUCCUGUAAUUCCUUACCCACUUCUACUCACUGGCCUUUUCUUUUUCUCAGCUCCCAAGAAAACCUGUGAGUGCAGGACAGGGCUUGCUUAAGAGGACUGAACAUUCAGUAGUCUUAUGUGAGAGCUGGACUAUGGAGGCUUGAGAAAAUGUACUGGCAAAUUUUAAGACGUUUCCUGAGCAUACUCAAAUGGAGUUUUUUUGUGAAGUUUACCACAUUUGGGUAGUUUUCCAUGAAACCUGCAGAAGACUUGACCUCAACUGGCCAACUUCUUGCUAAGUUUAAAGGAGCCACUCUAGUGGUUGUAGAUGGUUUGGAGACUUGGGAACAAAGGAAUAAGGUGAAGGUCUUCUGUUACACUACCGUAAUUUGUGUUUACUCUGUAAAGGUGCCGGAGAUUGACAAAAGUGCUCUUCAUGUUAAACCUACAUUAAAGGUAAAAAGACACCCAUCUACGAGGCAAAAGCAUCACCAUCGUCCAAUGGAAAAUGGCAAUCAGUUAUACCUCUCAAGUCUGGAAGGCCUUUCUGCUUGAAAUGGUCUUCGAGUCUGGGUCAUGACACAAAGUGCUGCGCGUUGGUGUUGGUGUAAUGGGUUUUCUUUUUUGACCAGCACCCUGUUGUCUUCAGGUUUUUAAACUGUAAGACAGUUAAACCAUUUUAAACAACUCAUCUUGACUCCAAAUAUUUUUGUAAGAAAAUAGUCCUUUGGUGAAGUUGACUAGAUUGGCAGGUAGCCAUCAGUGAGGGCAGAAAACCGUUAUGUACGUAGGAGAAUAUUGUAGCCGUCUCUGCUAGGUAGCUGCCCAGGUACCAUGCUGGCAUGCUGGCAGCAGUCUAUGUAGACAUGAUGUGAAAUAACAAAGACUUCACCUGGCCAGCAGUUGUUUGAGAAGCAAUUAGUUCUCCAGUUUCAUAAGUUUACAAAGGAGCUAAGAACCCAUUUUGGAGUCUUGUGGAAUAAUUAGAAUUUCCGCAUCGAAUUUUUGUUGAAUAUGAAUUAACUCUUACAGAUUGAUAGGAUGAUGUAUCCUGGAACAUAAAUGCUGUUUUACAGGAUUUUGCUAGGACACUCCCCAAAAAGACACGUGAGUUUCUCCCUUGUAGGUACAGUUCCGAGUUCCUGAAAUUUUGAGCAUGGAGGCCCUAGCAUCUCUUUGUUGCCUGCAGAAGGCAUUUCCAGAGGACAAUUCUUCCCAUCCCACUGAGACUCUGGAAAAGUCUCUUUCCAGAUCCUUUAGCAGCUGCACUCCUAACAAGAUGAAACUGGCUGAACAUAAGGCAAAGGCUAGCAAUAUGAGAGCAAUUUGAUAAAUAUUCAUCAUGGCUGAAGUUUCCUCCUCAUGGACCAAUACAGAGACUAUAUACUAUUUGAGUGGAGGCUGAGUUCACUCAGGUGGUGCCCAAGUGAUGGUCAGGCCCUCACUGACACUGUAUGUAGAACUGAAUUUCAUAUUGUUUAAAGCAUCGUUUGUCAGGACCCUGAUUUCUCUAGAUUUUCUCCCUUUGUAUCACACAUACUUUCAUUCAAAAUCAUACUUCCUUCAGGUGGAGAGGAAUAUUCUGCAUUGCUGAUGCAGUUGACUUUAUGAUUGUUGGCACACAGCAGUUUAAUAGGUUUGAGCAAACAGUAGUUGCAGAGCCCAGUAGAUACAAUGAUUGUCAUCAGGAGUCAUUUAGUGCUUUCUUUUACAGGGCACAAACACCCUGUGACUCACACUAACAGGAUAAGGUCAGAUUUUCAUGUGGCGUAAAGCAGAGGAAAACGUUGCCUGUGGUAAUGUGUGCGUUUUCUGUAUUAAAUUAAUUAAAGAUUUUUUUCUUGUGUGCUC